rnacentral:rRNA from 1 species
GAUCCUGGCUCAGGAUGAACGCUGGCGGCGUGCCUAACACAUGCAAGUCGAGCGAUGAGGCUCCCUUCGGGGGGUACAUCAGCGGCGAACGGGUGAGUAACACGUGGGUGACCUUCCCCAAAGACGGGGAUAACUCUUGGAAACAGGGGCUAAUACCCGAUGUGCUCAGCAGUUCACUCUGUUGAGUAAAGCUAUGGCGCUUUGGGAUGGGCCCGCGGCCCAUCAGCUAGUUGGUAGGGUAAAGGCCUACCAAGGCUAAGACGGGUAGGGGGCGUGAGAGCGCGAUCCCCCACACUGGCACUGAGACACGGGCCAGACUCCUACGGGAGGCAGCAGUGAGGAAUAUUGCGCAAUGGCGAAAGCCUGAACCAGCCAUGCCGCGUGAAGGAUGACAGCCCUAUGGGUUGUAAACUUCUUUUGUACGGGAAGAAACGCUUCUACGUGUAGAGGUUUGACGGUACCGUACGAAUAAGCAUCGGCUAACUCCGUGCCAGCAGCCGCGGUAAUACGGAGGAUGCAAGCGUUAUCCGGAUUUAUUGGGUUUAAAGGGUACGUAGGCGGGAGCUUAAGUCAGUGGUGAAAUCCUGCAGCUUAACUGUAGAACUGUCAUUGAUACUGGGCUUCUUGAAUGUAGUUGAGGUAGGCGGAAUGUGUAAUGUAGCGGUGAAAUGCUUAGAUAUUACACAGAACACCGAUUGCGAAGGCAGCUUACUAAACUACGAUUGACGCUGAGGUACGAAAGCGUGGGGAGCGAACAGGAUUAGAUACCCUGGUAGUCCACGCUGUAAACGAUGAUCACUCGUUGUUGGCAAUACACCGUCAGCGACUGAGCGAAAGCAUUAAGUGAUCCACCUGGGGAGUACGACCGCAAGGUUGAAACUCAAAGGAAUUGACGGGGGCCCGCACAAGCGGAGGAACAUGUGGUUUAAUUCGAUGAUACGCGAGGAACCUUACCUGGGCUUAAAUGUAGAACGACGGACCGGGAAACUGGUCUUUCUUCGGACGGUCUGCAAGGUGCUGCAUGGCUGUCGUCAGCUCGUGCCGUGAGGUGUCGGGUUAAGUCCCAUAACGAGCGCAACCCUCAUCAUUAGUUGCCAGCGGGUAAUGCCGGGGACUCUAAUGAAACUGCCGGUGUAAACCGAGAGGAAGGUGGGGAUGACGUCAAGUCAGCACGGCCCUUAUGUCCAGGGCUACACACGUGUUACAAUGGUCGGUACAAAGGGCAGCUACCUGGCGACAGGAUGCUAAUCUCGAAAACCGAUCUCAGUUCGGAUCGAAGUCUGCAACUCGACUUCGUGAAGCUGGAUUCGCUAGUAAUCGCGCAUCAGCCAUGGCGCGGUGAAUACGUUCCCGGGCC